UGGAUGAAAUGAUAUUGACUCCGAACCGAAUUCUACUCUGUUUAAAUUUAUGAUACGGUCCAAUCAUUCGUAAAAGUUUUGGCAAAAGCACGUGCACAAUUGACCAAUCAAUAGCCUUCUACAUUGGGAGUGCGUACAAGAUAAUGAAACUACCAUGCGCUUGAUUCUGUGAAACACCUCAACACUCUGGGUCUUUCGUUUUGUUUACAUAUUAGCGCUCUUCAGGUUGUGGGACAAGCUGGGCAAUAUUGACAAUUAUUUUGCUACCCCUAUCUUCAAAACUACUCAAGGAUAUAAUCUGGGAGGAAAAUUUUAUGGGGAAGUGACAUCCUUGCAAAAAAUGUGGGAGAAGGGAGACAACCCAAUGUGAGCAUUAACAUUCCGUGGCUAUACAUCUUAUUUUUAUAAAAUAUCGCCGGUAGAAGUUUUUCAUCAGGUAUUCGAAAUUCGCCUCGGGUAUGGAUCAGUCGUGAAUCCGCCAAAAAAAUGUAAUAAAAUACAAUAAAAAUGGUAUGGUUGUAUUCAUUUUAGAUUUA